rnacentral:rRNA from 1 species
AUUGAACGCUGGCGGCAGGCCUAACACAUGCAAGUCGAGCGGAUGAAUGGAGCUUGCUCCUGGAUUCAGCGGCGGACGGGUGAGUAAUGCCUAUGAAUCUGCCUGGUCUUGGGGGAUAACGUCCUGAAACGGGCUCUAAUACCCCAUACGUCCUUAGGUAGAAAUUGGGGGAUCUUCGGACCUCACGCUAUCAGAUUAGCCUAGGUCCGAUUAGCUAGUUGGUUGGGUAACUGCCUACCAAGGCUACUAUCCGUCACUGGUCUGAGAGGAUGAUCAGUCACACUGGAACUGAGACGCGGUACAGACUCCUACGGGAGGCAGCAGUGGGGAAUAUUGGACAAUGGGCGAAAGCCUGAUCCAGCCAUGCCGCGUGUGUGAAGAAGGUCUUAGGAUUGUAAAGCACUUUAAGUUGGGAGGAAGGGCAGUACGUUAAUACCUUGCUGUUUUGACGUUACCAACAGAAUAAGCACCGGCUAACUUCGUG